GGGCUGGAGGCGGAGCCAAGGAUGCUCAGGAGUGCGGACCCGCACCGCGAAGCUGAUUUAUUCAGGGCCCCCGGGGGCCCGCCGCUGUGCAAAGUGCUUUAAUAAUAGCAAAGAGAAGAAACUUCCACCGUAGCCUUGCUUCUGUAGUGCCAGGCACUGGUGGAGACGGAAUAAUAAGGAAAGUCCUAUAUUCCUAGCAUAAGCAUGUUUGUAAGUGAGUGGCGUGUGCUAGGCACCGUGACCUCUGUCACACAGAGAGAGAGAGAGAAAGAGGUAGAGACACAAGCAGGCUCCAUGCACCGGGAGCCCGACGUGGGAUUCGAUCCCUGGUCUCCAGGAUCGCGCCCUGGGCCAAAGGCAGGCGCCAAACCGCUGCGCCACCCAGGGAUCCCUUGACCUGGUUUCUACCCUCUAACUGGAACCCGCUGGAGAGCCAGCCUCUGGAAAAAUAACCACACAAAUAACUUAUUAAAAAGCUGCUGGGAAUAAACUAAAAUAAACUGCUGGGAACGCAGGCAGAUGUGCUUGGCCUCCAAAGUGAA